UAGCCUAGUGGUUAAGGCUCUGGAUCGCCAAUCCGGAGUCGGCAGGUUCGAUUCCCGU
rnacentral:tRNA from 1 species